GGGUUGUGAGGUUAAGCGACUAAGCGUACACGGUGGAUGGCAGUCAGAGGCGAUGAAGGACGUGCUAAUCUGCGAAAAGCGUCGGUAAGGUGAUAUGAACCGUUAUAGCCGGCGAUGUCCGAAUGGGGAAACCCAGUGUGAUUCGUCACACUAUCGUUAACUGAAUACAUAGGUUAACGAGGCGAACCGGGGGAACUGAAACAUCUAAGUACCCCGAGGAAAAGAAAUCAACCGAGAUUCCCCCAGUAGCGGCGAGCGAACGGGGAGCAGCCCAGAGUCUGAAUCAGCUUGUGUGUUAGUGGAACGGUCUGGAAAGUCCGACGGUACAGGGUGAUAGUCCCGUACACCAAAAUGCACAGGUUGUGAACUCGAAGAGUAGGGCGGGACACGUGGUAUCCUGUCUGAAUAUGGGGGGACCAUCCUCCAAGGCUAAAUACUCCUGACUGACCGAUAGUGAACCAGUACCGUGAGGGAAAGGCGAAAAGAACCCCGGCGAGGGGAGUGAAAAAGAACCUGAAACCGUGUACGUACAAGCAGUGGGAGCACCUUCGGGUGUGACUGCGUACCUUUGUAUAAUGGGUCAGCGACUUAUAUUCUGUAGCAAGGUUAACCGUAUAGGGAGCCGCAGGGAAACCGAGUCUUAACUGGGCGUUAAGUUGCAGGGUAUAGACCCGAAACCCGGUGAUCUAGCCAUGGGCAGGUUGAAGGUUGGGUAACACUAACUGGAGGACCGAACCGACUAAUGUUGAAAAAUUAGCGGAUGACUUGUGGCUGGGGUGAAAGGCCAAUCAAACCGGGAGAUAGCUGGUUCUCCCGAAAGCUAUUUAGGUAGCGCCUCGUGAACUCAUCUUCGGGGGUAGAGCACUGUUUCGGCUAGGGGGUCAUCCCGACUUACCAACCCGAUGCAAACUACGAAUACCGAAGAAUGUUAUCACGGGAGACACACGGCGGGUGCUAACGUCCGUCGUGAAGAGGGAAACAACCCAGACCGCCAGCUAAGGUCCCAAAGUCAUGGUUAAGUGGGAAACGAUGUGGGAAGGCACAGACAGCCAGGAUGUUGGCUUAGAAGCAGCCAUCAUUUAAAGAAAGCGUAAUAGCUCACUGGUCGAGUCGGCCUGCGCGGAAGAUGUAACGGGCUAAACCAUGCACCGAAGCUGCGGCAGCGACACUAUGUGUUGUUGGGUAGGGGAGCGUUCUGUAAGCCUGCGAAGGUGGCCUGUGAGGGUUGCUGGAGGUAUCAGAAGUGCGAAUGCUGACAUAAGUAACGAUAAAGCGGGUGAAAAGCCCGCUCGCCGGAAGACCAAGGGUUCCUGUCCAACGUUAAUCGGGGCAGGGUGAGUCGACCCCUAAGGCGAGGCCGAAAGGCGUAGUCGAUGGGAAACAGGUUAAUAUUCCUGUACUUGGUGUUACUGCGAAGGGGGGACGGAGAAGGCUAUGUUAGCCGGGCGACGGUUGUCCCGGUUUAAGCAUGUAGGCUGAUUAUCCAGGCAAAUCCGGAUAAUCAAGGCUGAGGUGUGAUGACGAGGCACUACGGUGCUGAAGUAACAAAUGCCCUGCUUCCAGGAAAAGCCUCUAAGCAUCAGGUAACAUCAAAUCGUACCCCAAACCGACACAGGUGGUCAGGUAGAGAAUACCAAGGCGCUUGAGAGAACUCGGGUGAAGGAACUAGGCAAAAUGGUGCCGUAACUUCGGGAGAAGGCACGCUGGUGUGUAGGUGAAGUCCCUGCGGAUGGAGCUGAGACCAGUCGAAGAUACCAGCUGGCUGCAACUGUUUAUUAAAAACACAGCACUGUGCAAACACGAAAGUGGACGUAUACGGUGUGACGCCUGCCCGGUGCCGGAAGGUUAAUUGAUGGGGUUAUCCGUAAGGAGAAGCUCUUGAUCGAAGCCCGGUAAACGGCGGCCGUAACUAUAACGGUCCUAAGGUAGCGAAAUUCCUUGUCGGGUAAGUUCCGACCUGCACGAAUGGCGUAAUGAUGGCCAGGCUGUCUCCACCCGAGACUCAGUGAAAUUGAACUCGCUGUGAAGAUGCAGUGUACCCGCGGCAAGACGGAAAGACCCCGUGAACCUUUACUAUAGCUUGACACUGAACAUUGAGCCUUGAUGUGUAGGAUAGGUGGGAGGCUUUGAAGCGUGGACGCCAGUCUGCGUGGAGCCAACCUUGAAAUACCACCCUUUAAUGUUUGAUGUUCUAACGUUGGCCCCUGACCGGGGUUGCGGACAGUGUCUGGUGGGUAGUUUGACUGGGGCGGUCUCCUCCCAAAGCGUAACGGAGGAGCACGAAGGUUAGCUAAUCCUGGUCGGACAUCAGGAGGUUAGUGCAAUGGCAUAAGCUAGCUUGACUGCGAGCGUGACGGCGCGAGCAGGUGCGAAAGCAGGUCAUAGUGAUCCGGUGGUUCUGAAUGGAAGGGCCAUCGCUCAACGGAUAAAAGGUACUCCGGGGAUAACAGGCUGAUACCGCCCAAGAGUUCAUAUCGACGGCGGUGUUUGGCACCUCGAUGUCGGCUCAUCACAUCCUGGGGCUGAAGUAGGUCCCAAGGGUAUGGCUGUUCGCCAUUUAAAGUGGUACGCGAGCUGGGUUUAGAACGUCGUGAGACAGUUCGGUCCCUAUCUGCCGUGGGCGCUGGAGAAUUGAGGGGGGCUGCUCCUAGUACGAGAGGACCGGGUGGACGCAUCACUGGUGUUCGGGUUGUCAUGCCAAUGGCACUGCCCGGUAGCUAAAUGCGGAAGAGAUAAGUGCUGAAAGCAUCUAAGCACGAAACUUGCCCCGAGAUGAGUUCUCCCUGAGACUUUAAGUCUCCUGAAGGAACGUUAAAGACGAUGACGUUGAUAGGCCGGGUGUGUAAGCGCAGCGAUGCGUUGAGCUAACCGGUACUAAUGAACCGUGAGGCUUAACCUUACAACGCCGAAG
rnacentral:rRNA from 1 species